GUGCUCGCCUCGGCAGCACAUUUACUAUAAUUGGAACGAUACAUAGAAGAUUAACAUGGCCCCUGCACAAGGACGACAUGCACAUUCAUGAAACGUUCCAUAUUUUU
rnacentral:snRNA from 1 species